UGUUCGGUUAAGUCCGCUAACGAGCGCAACCUCGCUGUACUGUUACAUGUGUCAUACAGGACCGCCGGUAUCAAGCCGGAGGAAGUGGGGAUGACGUCAAGUCCGCAUGGCCUUUAUGUCCGGGGCUACACACACGCUACAAUGGUCGGUACAAUGGGUUGCUAAGCCGCGAGGUGGAGCCAAUCCCCCAAAGCCGGCCUCAGUUCAGAUUGCAGGCUGCAACUCGCCUGCAUGAAGCUGGAGUUGCUAGUAAACGCGCGUCAGCUAUAGUGCGUUGAAUACGUUCUCGGGCCUU
rnacentral:rRNA from 1 species